rnacentral:lncRNA from 1 species
AGGAUUAUUAUUUCGAGGCCAUUUGAGCUUUGGAAGCUAAGAUCAGUAAUUUUAGAUUUUUGGCUAUAGUUUUGGUACAAAUUUUGUAUGAUUUGGAGUUUAUAUGAAAGAGAUAUAGGCAGUCAAAGUUAAGAUGUUAAUUUUAUAUCUAUUGUCAAUCUUUUGGACAUAAAGCACACAUACACAAAGAAAUAAAAGAUUGGUGAUCAAAAUUGAAGAGAGCAUUUUUUUGGCUACACUUUUGGCAUAUUUUUUGAUAGAUUCUAAAUUGGAAUAAAGGAAAUUUUGGAGGUUGAAAUCAACACUUGCAAAUCGAAAGAUAGUAAGUGAUCCGAUUGACUAGUGGUUAUAUUUUGAGGUAUAUCUUGAGCAAUUUGAUAAGAUUUUGGCUCAAAGUUU